GAUGAACGCUGGCGGCGUGCCUAAUACAUGCAAGUCGAGCGAACGGACGAGAAGCUUGCUUCUCUGAUGUUAGCGGCGGACGGGUGAGUAACACGUGGAUAACCUACCUAUAAGACUGGGAUAACUUCGGGAAACCGGAGCUGAUACCGGAUAAUAUUUUGAACCGCAUGGUUCAAAAGUGAAAGACGGUCUUGCUGUCACUUAUAGAUGGAUCAGCGCUGCAUUAGCUAGUUGGUAAGGUAACGGCUUACCAAGGCAACGAUGCAUAGCCGACCUGAGAGGGUGAUCGGCCACACUGGAACUGAGACACGGUCCAGACUCCUACGGGAGGCAGCAGUAGGGAAUCUUCCGCAAUGGGCGAAAGCCUGACGGAGCAACGCCGCGUGAGUGAUGAAGGUCUUCGGAUCGUAAAACUCUGUUAUUAGGGAAGAACAUAUGUGUAAGUAACUGUGCACAUCUUGACGGUACCUAAUCAGAAAGCCACGGCUAACUACGUG
rnacentral:rRNA from 1 species